rnacentral:rRNA from 1 species
AUAAGCCUGGGAAACUGGGUCUAAUACCGGAUAGGAGCGUCCACCGCAUGGUGGGUGUUGGAAAGAUUUAUCGGUUUUGGAUGGACUCGCGGCCUAUCAGCUUGUUGGUGAGGUAAUGGCUCACCAAGGCGACGACGGGUAGCCGGCCUGAGAGGGUGACCGGCCACACUGGGACUGAGACACGGCCCAGACUCCUACGGGAGGCAGCAGUGGGGAAUAUUGCACAAUGGGCGCAAGCCUGAUGCAGCGACGCCGCGUGAGGGAUGACGGCCUUCGGGUUGUAAACCUCUUUCAGUAGGGAAGAAGCGAAAGUGACGGUACCUGCAGAAGAAGCACCGGCUAACUACGUGCCAGCAGCCGCGGUAAUACGUAGGGUGCGAGCGUUAUCCGGAAUUAUUGGGCGUAAAGAGCUCGUAGGCGGUUUGUCGCGUCUGUCGUGAAAGUCCGGGGCUUAACCCCGGAUCUGCGGUGGGUACGGGCAGACUAGAGUGCAGUAGGGGAGACUGGAAUUCCUGGUGUAGCGGUGGAAUGCGCAGAUAUCAGGAGGAACACCGAUGGCGAAGGCAGGUCUCUGGGCUGUAACUGACGCUGAGGAGCGAAAGCAUGGGGAGCGAACAGGAUUAGAUACCCUGGUAGUCCAUGCCGUAAACGUUGGGCACUAGGUGUGGGGACCAUUCCACGGUUUCCGCGCCGCAGCUAACGCAUUAAGUGCCCCGCCUGGG